CGGCUCUGAGAAAUGUGUCCUUAGGCAAUCUGUACUUGUGCCAGCAGCACGGAAGGCAGCGCGUCUCGCUGCGCAGGCUGUGCGUUAGUCUGCUGCCCUGCAUUCCUGUGCCCAUGAGGGCUCUGCUCGUGUUUCCCCCUUUUUGGAGAUGGACUCUCACUAUGUAGCCCUGGCUAGCCUCAAACUUGUAGCCCCAGCUGGCCUCCAACGUACUGCUGGGGUUGCGGGAUUACACCACACACUUGACUACUCUGUGCGCAUCCUGGGUUUCUCUGUCUAACAGCCCUGGCUGUCCUGGAACUCACAGAGAUCCACUUCACAGUAGAUCUGCCUCUACUUCCCGAGUGCUGAGUUUAAAGCCGUGCUCUACCACGUCUGGCCUGGAACUUUCUUUGUAGACUACACUGCCUCAAACCCACAGAGAUUUGCCUGCCUCUGCUGCUGGGAUUAAAGAUGACUCUCUCUCAUGUCAAGUCGACAUAAAACUGGCCAGCACACAGACCCUGCCUCCUCUGGAUUAGUGCAACAGUACCAACAGUCACAGAAGACCCUCAUUCCUGCACGACCUGAGUUCAGAGAAGGCCUGCAGUGGGAGACAGGUGCUCUAAGACUCCUGGCCUGGGUAGGAGCACUCAGGUUUGGCUGAAUCAUCUCGAGGCUCCUUCAUCCCUUAGGCUGGCGGCAGAUACCAGCUGCUUACAAGGGCCAAGCCAGGUGCCAUCUUUGUUCAAGAGCCGCUGCCAUGUCCUUGAGGGUGGGUCAGGUUAUUUUAAGGAUAGCUCCUUCUUCGUCUUCACUCAUGUGCUAGAAUAGCCCCUCCCUCAUCUUCUUCAGCUCUUGAGUUUCAUGUUACCUUCGCAGGGAGAUUUCACCCUAACAUUAUUAAAGAUUGGGUGUGAAGCCCGGUGUGGCACACGCCUUUAACCCCAGCAUUCGGAAGGCAGAGGCAGGCGGAUCCCUGAGUUCAAAGCCAGCUUGUACAGGUCUCCAUAGCAAAGUUCAGGCCAGCUAGAGCAACACAGAGUCCCUGUCUCUGCAUGCACUGCCGUGUAAGUAACGCGUGCUAACCGAUUGCACCACUGGAGCUCCGGGACCCUGUCUCAAAGAAACAGAACUGCGACCAGGGGCUGGGGAGGGGCAGCCGGCAAGCACUUGCCUUGCGGCCACAAGGACCCUAGUGUCGCCGACAUGGUGGUACUCCCUUGUAGUCCCAGCACUGGGGAGAUGGAGAUAGCAGAUCCUGGGGUGGGGGGGGGAGUUGCUAGCCAGCCUGUGAGCUCCUGGUUAGUGAAACGCCUUGUCUCAAAAAUUAAAAGAAAAAAAAUUAAAGAAAUGAUACCCGAGGAAUGCAUCUGAUAUCCUCUGCCCUCUAAUGCAUGCACACUGGCACACACACACACUUUUGGUCUAGAUGAGGUGGCUGCUCAUACCUAUAAUCCCAGUACUCGGAA